rnacentral:rRNA from 1 species
AACGAACGCUGGCGGCAGGCUUAACACAUGCAAGUCGAACGCAUCCUUCGGGGUGAGUGGCAGACGGGUGAGUAACGCGUGGGAACAUGCCCUUCAGUUCGGAAUAACCCAGGGAAACUUGGGCUAAUACCGGAUACGUGCGAGAGCAGAAAGAUUUAUCGCCGAAGGAGUGGCCCGCGUCUGAUUAGCUCGUUGGUGAGGUAAAGGCGCACCAAGGCGACGAUCAGUAGCUGGUCUGAGAGGAUGAUCAGCCACACUGGGACUGAGACACGGCCCAGACUCCUACGGGAGGCAGCGGUGGGGAAUAUUGGACAAUGGGCGCAAGCCUGAUCCAGCCAUGCCGCGUGAGUGAUGAAGGCCUUAGGGUUGUAAAGCUCUUUCGGCGGGGACGAUAAUGACGGUACCCGCAGAAGAAGCCCCGGCUAACUUCGUGCCAGCAGCCGCGGUAA